rnacentral:rRNA from 1 species
UACGGAGGAUGCGAGCGUUAUCCGGAUUUAUUGGGUUUAAAGGGUGCGUAGGCGGGAUGCCAAGUCAGCGGUAAAAAUGCGGUGCUCAACGCCGUCGAGCCGUUGAAACUGGCGUUCUUAAGUGGGCGAGAAGUAUGCGGAAUGCGUGGUGUAGCGGUGAAAUGCAUAGAUAUCACGCAGAACUCCGAUUGCGAAGGCAGCAUACCGGCGCCCUACUGACGCUGAGGCACGAAAGCGUGGGUAUCGAACAGG